CACAACCUCCAACUCCGACAAACGCCAUGGAAAAUCUGCCCCCUCUGCUCACCACCUCCGCAUCGAGGAUCUUCCCUCUCUCCGUUGAAUUGGCCGCACCUCCCUCCCUCCGCCCCCCUUCUCCGGCCACCACCAAGCUAAAACUGCGCCUCGAGCAGAAGAGUCCCGGCCAAAUCCGUGGGGAGCAGCCGGCCGCCGGCCAGGUCCUUGAGGAGGGAGAUAUCCGGCGAGAUCCAUGGGGAGAUGCAGGGCGGUUACAAUCACACAUUCAGAUAAAGUAUGUCCAACUCCAGGGACCAAAAGACCACUUUCAGAGGCUAGUA